AUGUAUUGGAGACAUGACAGAAUAAAUGUACAACUAUCACAGCCUGUCAGUAAUUUCCAUUUAUUGUCACAGAACACCAUACACUUGGGGCAAGUUUGUUCAGACACCUGUUACUACAGGUAAUGCAUAUACACCAACACAAGUGAGGGCACAAGCUCACCUUGAACCCGUUAAUGUUCACGACCUUGUUAAACUACAGUGCAUUGGUGGCAACUAGUGGCUGGAAAGGAGCUGUGCAAUGAAGGAUCA